UAAUGUGCCACUGUUGCAGAACUCCCAGCGGUGCCAAGUCUGCGGGCAGAGAAGGAAGUGCUUUUCUCACUUGAGUGGAAGAGAGCGUAGUGGUGGUUUCUCUUUUUUAGGAACUGUGUUGUAUACAAAGCUGUAUGUUCUGUCUUAACAGGGCAGGCCCGCCUGUUCUGCAGAGAGCAGACCGCGGCCGCGCUCCCUCAGCCUCCCACCCGCCUCCAUCCCUCCGUGGGCAUUCAGCCGGCAGGCACCUAGCUCUGGGGCUGGAGGUAGACGCAGGACAGUGCCUCACCUCGAGGGACUCUGUCCAGGGACCCACAGACAACAAAAUAACGCGGGACACUACCGGGCUAGCCCCGAAAGUCCCUCCCGCGCCUGAUCCUUCGUCUUCCAGUGGCAAACUUGGAGCCCCGUGCUGAAGAUGGUUCUGAGGAAAGGAGGAGCUGGGGUUGCUGAGCCACGGCCAGGAGCAGUGUGAGUGGAGUGAGCCAUCCUCACGAGUGACCCGAGAGGCCAUGCUUAGGACAGCAGUGUCCCAAGAGGGAAAGACUGUACAUCCCUGAAUCACCAUGUGGAAGAGAGGGCCUUCCAGCCAGGAGCAUCCGCAGGAGACUCUGAGAGGAGGGGAAAUUGCUGCCACCGUGGUUUAUAUCGAGAUGUCUCCCUUAAGCCUCAUGCAGACACAGUUUGUUAUUUACAGGCUGGAGGCCUGGAAGCUGGUUGGAAGGACCGCGUGAGUCUGUCAGAAGGCUGAAGAGGCUGUGCGGGAGGCCGAAGGAACUGCAGGCCAGUGAUAAGAGGCAAUGGUGAAGACAGGAGCUUCUCUAGAGAGAGAACUGUCUCCUUCUCCUCUCUUUUUCACUCUGCCCACGCGACAGGCCUGGUCGCCGCCUCCCACGUCUAGGUUGGGUCGUCCCGCCUCCGUUGGCUGGUCUACCUGUCAGUCAUCACAGACACCAGUUCUUACCCGAGUCAUGCUAUGUCACAGUGAACAGUGACAGUCCACCCCUUGUCAGCCCGACGGUCAGGCGCAUCUCCUUCAACCAUGCUCAGUCUCCAGAUACCACAGCAAGUUCACAGUUACACCCACCGCAACACAAAUAUCCUGCAUACAAGCAGAAAUGCAGUCAUUCCUUCCCCACGAUAGAAGGCGAAGUUUUUCUUUGGGUGAGGCUUACACUUCUCCUGGUGUUCAGUAACUUGAACAUUUUAAUAUAGAUUUAACAAUACUUAAGAACUGAUGGUGCUGGGUGCGGUGGUAUGAUCCACAAUCUCAGCACUCCUGGGAGGCUGAGACAGGAGGAUCACAAGUUCAAGCUCAGUCAGGGCAGUUUGGUGACUUAGUGAAACCUCAUCUCAAAAUCUGAAAAUGGCUGGGGAUCUCAGUGCAAAAGGAUUGCAUUUAACCUCCAGUACUGCCAAGGGGGCUGGGGAGAGGGAGAGAAAGACAGAGAGAGAACUAUUAAGUCAAUCAAUGUUAUAGUAGCAAGAAAAAGCUGUCUGCUUGAUAUAUGUGUCUGUAUGUAUGCACGAGCAUAUUAACAGAAUAGGAAGGAGAUGCUCAUUACAGUUACAGCCCUCAUUUCUGUAACUUGUCAUGGAGUCGUAGCUGGUACUGUAACCACCUUCUUCUACUCACUCUGUGUUCUCUUGGCCUUCGGCCAGCACCUCAGCAGGCCUUGGUUCUUUUCCUGGCAGGACAACGUAUACUUGGUCCCUGGAGGUUCUGGGCCACUUGUCAUCCUGCCUGGAUUGGCUUGCUGUACCUUCCCACGACCUUAACAACAGGGUAGAGCAACACCAGGAGACACCCUCAGGCAUCUCCUGCACUGCAAACACAUUCCUCCUCUUCUCCAUCAUGGAGGAAUAUGGUCUAGUUUCCCCUUGGUAGCUUGGAGCAGUUCCCCCACCACCACUAAAUCCCCUUUCAGCUUUUUUCACUGGGAGACCUAAAGAGACAGAAAUGGCCAGGGGGAAGCCUUGGCCUCCAGUUCAAUGGGACCCUUGUGCCUCCUGGUACAAGCCUUCCCCUGUCUGUCUGACCACCUCCCCUAUCACAGCACAGCUGAUCUGCUAGUUGGGUAGAAAGGGAGGCCUGCUGGAUUGGGGCCUUUGCCAACUCAGUAACUCGAUGUGCAGGGCAGGACCCAGAGCGUGGGCAGUGUGGAUCUUCACUGCGGCUGUGCUGGCCGUGGACUCUGCCCUCGUCCAUUCCCAGAGAGCCUGAGAGGUCGACAGCCGUUAGCUGUGUGAUUCCCUUUCUAUACCUGAUACUGAUACUGAUACUGCUUGUAUGUUCUUUCUUUUGCUUUUUCUUGGUCAAUUUUAUUAAGCUUUUCAGAGAAGGAGUCUUUUUGCUUUCUUAUUUUCUGUUCUAUGUUUAUUUUCUACUUCCUUGAUUUGUGUCCUUGUUUAUGUUGCCUUCACUCUUUCAUUUAAAAUUUUUUUCCUUUAGCUGGGCAUGGUGGCACAGGCCUGUAAUUCUAGCAC